UACGUAGGGCGCAAGCGUUUGUCCGGAUUCACUGGGUGUAAAGGGUGCGCAGGCGGGAAAGUAAGUUAGAGGUGAAAUCUCACAGCUCAACUGUGAAACGGCCUUUGAUACUGCUUUUCUUGAGUUAGGGAGAGGUUGAUGGAAUUCCAGGUGUAGCGGUGAAAUGCGUAGAUAUCUGGAAGAACACCGGUGGCGAAGGCGGUCAACUGGCCCUAAACUGACGCUCAGGCACGAAAGCGUGGGGAUCA
rnacentral:rRNA from 1 species